rnacentral:rRNA from 1 species
AUGGAUGGGCCUGAUGUUUCUCAACUCUGUGAGAUGCUUGAUACCAUUUGGGCAGAGAUGCCGGGGCAGGAAGUGGUAUAUCAAUGGGUCGAGUGGAUACGCUAUUCUUCAUUAGCAAAUCUCUGGCUUGAUGGCAAAAUAUUGUUAGGUCCAGACAUUCAUAGAUACAACGGAGAUCGGCGCGCAAUCUCAAGAAGUCUCUCACUAGAGUCUGUGAUCCCUUCCAUGCUCAGCUACAGUAGUAAGAAACAUUACCAAGCUUUUCUUGAGGACCUCCAUAUGUGCAUGAUAUGCCUUAACCAGUGGAAAGGUUCAAACUUCAUCAAGCUUCCAUGCCAGCACUUGUAUUGUGUGAAGUGCAUGGAGACGUUAUGCAAGAUGCAUGUGAAGGAAGGCACUUUGUUUCAGUUAGUUUGCCCUGACACCAAGUGCACUUCCAUUCCACACUAUCUGCUAAAGAGGCUUCUUAGCAAAGAAGAGUUUGAACGCUGGGAUAGGCUUGCUCUCGAGAAAGCGUUGGACUCAAUGUCAGACGUUUACUGCCCAAAAUGUGUGGUUGGUUGCGUGGAAGAUGAGGAUAACAAUGCGGAAUGUCCGAAAUGUUCGUUUACCUUCUGCGGUUUUUGCAAGGAAUUAUGGCAUCCAGGGAAACAAUGUCUAACUCCAGAACAAAAGCUCCAACGUCGGAGGGGGUCAGGCAGAAUGACUGAGAGGGAGGUGGCGCAAGAACUAGCGAACAUCAGAGAGUUAUACAAAGAUGUUCGGGUAUGUCCGAAAUGCCGAAUUGCCAUCGCCAAAUGUGAAGGCUGCAACAAAAUGGUGUGUGGAAACUGUGGUCAGUUCUUUUGCUUCCGCUGCGGCAAGGCGAUCUGUGGCUACAGUCAUUUCACGAACUGUCGCCUCUUUGAGCCUCAUGACAUGACAGACUUGGAUAGACAAAUGGAUGAACUGCAAUUUGGAAACCAGAUGCGGAAUCAGUUGAAACCGGUAGGUGCUAUGGUGAGAUGUCCAAGGUGUCGUGAAAUGACUUUCAAGGACGAUGAGAAAUAUAUCUUCUGUAUGGUGUGCGCAGCAAGCUCUUGCACAAUGUGCAAACGGAUAAUCACGGAUAGGAGGAUGAAGAGCGGGCACUGGGGGUCGUCAGAAUGCUACUCCUCGUAG